rnacentral:lncRNA from 1 species
AGGUUGGAGGGAGUGGAGGGGGUGUCGUGCUGCCGCUAUUGCCAUUGGGGAAGCCGAGGACCGCUGGACACCGGGAACCACGCGUCGAACACUUUCGGGCGUCACCAACAGCUAGCCGCGUCUGCUUCGUCUGCACCGCACCACGCGUCGCCGCCCUUCGCCGUCUCUCCAUCUUGGGUUUGUACGAUUAAUGCCUAUGGCUGUGCCGCCCUGGCCGCCGUUCCGCCGCUGACGAGCUCAGCGUGGACAGGCCAUCCCGGGUGCUCUCCCUCCCAUCUUUCUGGAGAAAUCGAACGCCCAUACACCGUAGAUGCUCCUGCGCCCAUCAAUUUGGCCGGAGACCGUCCCAAUCACCCAAGCCCCAAACCUCCUCGAGCUCGGUCAUGGCAGCCGUGUCGUGCCACAUGCCUAGGCGCCGCCGCACGCCGCAUUUGCCGGAGCACCUCCGCACACCCCCUGGACGCCGCCGUGCCGCCCCGGCCCCGUGCCGUCGCGCCCAGCCGUGCCCUGGGGCUGCCUCCCGAUGGCUGGAAGUUGAAGACAAUGGGGAAAAGAACGAGAGAGAGAGAACCGUGUGGGACCCACAUGUAA